UACGUAGGGUGCAGGCGUUAAUCGGAAUUACUGGGCGUAAAGCGUGCGCAGGCGGUUUGUUAAGACAGAUGUGAAAUCCCCGGGCUUAACCUGGGAACUGCGUUUGUAACUGGCAAGCUAGAGUGUGGCAGAGGGGGGUGGAAUUCCAAGUGUAGCGGUGAAAUGCGUAGAUAUUUGGAGGAACACCAAUGGCGAAGGCAGCCCCCUGGGUUAACACUGACGCUCAUGCACGAAAGCGUGGGGAGCAAACAGG
rnacentral:rRNA from 1 species